GUCGAUCUAAGAUUGUAACGGAUUUGUAUCUCGUGAUCUCUAGUCCUGUCCUUGUUUUUGUUUAUAUGGUUUCUGGAGUUGAUUAAAUCUUGUUGGUGAAUUAAAGUUUGGAUAAUGAAGACGAAGUUUGCAUCUGCGAGGAACUUGACGAUUUGGUACUUGGAGAACUUGAGGUUAAGCAACCAAAACUUCUUAUCUCCAUGCAUUACCAUUAAUCUUAUAAGUUAGGAUCUAUGUGACAUUUAUGCAGGCUAAAGAAGGCACUAGAAUGGACAUCUCAGUUUCUGUGCCACCAAGUGAUACAUGUUCAACGUCUGAAAAAGGACAAGGCAAUUAUUCAUUAUUUUUGCCUCCUGCUCGAGAUUCUGCUGUGAUUUCUAUAGGAAGUUCACAUUCAACGGCUGCACAUGAAAAUCAGAAGGUAAAAUCACAAUUUCAUAGGUUUUAGGAAGGAUACAUUUAAUUUUAGGAUGACCUUCCUAAAUAAUGCAAUAUACAGAUAUGAUCCGAACUAGUCGUCUUUUUUUUUUCAAUUUGAACUGUUUAUUCAUAUGCCUAUCUAUUUUUGGGUUUGUAGAACCUCAUCCUUUAGUUGGAACUUCUUCUAUCUCUGCUGCACAUGAAAACCAAAAGGUAAAAACUCAAUUUCAUAGGUUUUAGGAAGGAUACAUUUAGGUUUAGGAUGACCUUCCUAAAUACUGCAAUAUACAGGUAUGAUCAGUUUCUAGUCGUCUUUUUUAAAUUUUAACUCUUUUUCAUAUGCCUAUCUAGUUUUGUGUUUGUAGGAACCUCAUCUUUCAGUUGGAACUUCUUUUACCUCUGCUGCACAUGAAAACCAGAAGGUAAAAACUCAAUUUCAUAGGUUUCAGGAAGGAUACAUUUAGUUUUAGGAUGACCUUCCUAAAUACUGCAAUAUACAGAUAUGAUCUGUUUCUAGUCGUCUUUUUUUUUCAAUUUUAACUCUUUGUUCAUAUGCCUAUAUAUUUUUGUGUUUGUAGGAACCUCAUCCAUCAGUCAGAACUUCUUCCAUCUCUGUGUCAUAUAGUGAUACAUGUUCAACGGGUGAAAAGAGAAUAGGCAAUAAGUCAUUGGAUUUGCUUCCUGCUCCAGAUCGUAGUCCGAUUCCCAUAGGCGGUGUACAUUCAACACAAGGUGCUAAUGAUAUAUAUGUUAAUAAAUAUUUCAUGAACAAGGCUGAGUUAAUGCAGAAGAUGAGGACAUGGGAGUUGGAGUAUAAGUUUGAGUUUAGGUAUCGAUGGUCUAACAAAGAGAGAGUGGUUUUGGUAUUUGUAG
rnacentral:lncRNA from 1 species